AGGAAUUUAGGUUAACAUAGACCAAGAGCCUUCAAAGCCCUAAGUAAGUGAUUACACUUAAUUCCUG
rnacentral:tRNA from 1 species